GAGGGUAUAGCUCAGUGGCAGAGCAUGUGUUCAGCAAUGCACGAGGUCCUGGGUUCAAUCCCCAGUACCUCCA
rfam:Camelus ferus unplaced genomic scaffold scaffold204, whole genome shotgun sequence.